UGGCUGAGCGGUAAAGCGCUUGGUUUGAAACCAAGAUCCCGGGUUCGAAUCUUGG
rnacentral:tRNA from 1 species